CUGCGCACUCGGGGGGGGGGGGCUGGUUUGUGGCACGUGACCAGGGGCUGGGCUGCGUAGCCUGCGGGCGACCGCAUAAGCGGGUGGGGCCACAUCCUCUGGGCGGAGCUGAGGGCGACCUAUGUGCCCUGGGCGGAGCCUGCAAGAGGCAGUGUGAGCCGAGCGAAGGAUUAUUCCCUGGGCGGAGCCUACAGCGGGCACGUAGUCGGGACUGGACCAAGAGCCCGGACGUGACGCUCACUCCACAAAGCGGAGGGCACGUGACCUCAGGGCGGGGAGAUGGAGGACGUCUGAGCAGCCUGCAGCUCUUCCUUCUGGAGGCCUCCAGCGGGGUCCCUAGCAGGGCACGCCGGGCUCUCUGGGCCAUUGUUAGGGGAUGAGGACUCUUCAGUCAGCCCCGCGAUCCCUGGUGACAGCUGUGUGGUGGAGGUACUGGGGGUGCAGAGAGCCGAAGUGGGAAUUCAGGAGCCGCGCUGCUACCUACGUGGAACUCGGUUCAUACAACGAGAAAACACGCUUUCCUAAUUGUGUAUGCGGGAGGUUGCGUAACGUAGCUCUGCCUGGUGUCGCAGCCUGACGUCACUUGAGCACCAGCCUGUGAUCAAAACAGUCUGACAGGGGCCGGGGCUUUAGCUCAGUGGCUCCACCGCUUGCCACGAGAGUGCAAGGUCCAGAGUUCGAUCCCCGCUACCGAAAAACAAAAAAACAAUCUGACAGCCCAGAACACAGAGGACAUGGGUAUUCACUUUGGGUGGGAUGGACGGUCCGGGAGCCUCAUCUCAGAAUACUGUGCAGCUUGGAUUAUGAAUUGCUUAUUAACACAACAUGAUACACCCAUGUAUACAACGGGAACCAAAGCUGUUAGAGUUCUUCAUUGAGAUGAGACCCCCCAACAGAUACUUGAUCACUGGAAAAAAUAGUAUCACACUGGGGUAAAUGCACUGCCGUUUUGGUAAAAGCUUGUGCCCCAAGGGCAGAAGUCCUCAGGGCAGCUUGCUAGUGAACCAGCACCAGCACCUACCUGAGUAACUGAGGCCCAGACCAAAGGCCACUGUGGGAAGACCCAGUUUCUCUUCCCAACUGUCUCACUGGAUACUUCUGUUUUUGUUUUUUGCAGUGCUGGGUAUGGAACCCAGGGUCAGGUAUCACUGAGUGACACCCCCAGCUGUGUGGGGGCACAGUCUUAUGUACCCUGCAGUCCCUUUUACAAGCAGACUUGCUAAGCAGGAGGAGGUGUCCAGGAACCCAUGGUUGCAAGCCUUGGCAGGGCCAAUGACGCCAGCUUCAGAGAGCGCAUGCAGACUACUUGUCCUUCCCCACUCCCCAGUGGGCACAGACAGAAAAAACUGAGAAAAGAAAUACACUGUUUAUUAUUCAUUUGAAAUAUCACAUGCACUUUUAAAAAUUAAAACUCUUUAUUUAAACAUCUCAAUAGCAUUUAUCAAUUUGGUGGAAGCAAACAAAACACUAUCAAAGACAUAUUUUGAAAAGCAUUUACAAAAAUACAUUGCACAAAGUCCUAUGUCGCAUCUUUAAAAAUAAA